AGAGUUUGAUCAUGGCUCAGAUUGAACGCUGGCGGCAGGCCUAACACAUGCAAGUCGAGCGGCAGCGACAACAUUGAACCUUCGGGAGAUUUGUUGGGCGGCGAGCGGCGGACGGGUGAGUAAUGCCUGGGAAAUUGCCCUGAUGUGGGGGAUAACCAUUGGAAACGAUGGCUAAUACCGCAUGAUAGCUUCGGCUCAAAGAGGGGGACCUUCGGGCCUCUCGCGUCAGGAUAUGCCCAGGUGGGAUUAGCUAGUUGGUGAGGUAAGGGCUCACCAAGGCGACGAUCCCUAGCUGGUCUGA
rnacentral:rRNA from 1 species